UUCUAACUGCCUGGCCCAGGGUUUAAACCCUGGCUUGCAGGCACCACCUAGGCUUUACUCAUGCUAUCAAUAUUUUGUUAGGCAACAAAGCUAUACCAGAGUCAGUAUUCACCAGCAUGCAUGGCAAAUGACCUUGAAAAGAUUAUUAUUAAGCUAAUGAUGUAUUUCUCCAUUAACAAGCCUAUCCCUAUGAGGGGAGAGAGCAGUCUACUUCUAGAGGCUUAGCUCCCCAGUUUGAGCAGUGUUUGCAUAGAAAACCCUGCAGUUCUGGCUUCCUACUAGUAAGAGGUACUGAGGGGCUGCUUUCCUGAUGGCUACUUCACAGCAAGGCAAGGUGUCUGCUCCACAGAUAGCUGCCCCCUCAUCCAGCUCUGUGCCUUUCACUACAAAACAAGAGAGGGCAGAAGGAGGAAGUGUGGGAGAUGCUCCUGGGGCAGGGGCUUCCAAGAGGCUGAGGAGAAGGAGGAGGUGGAAGAAGCUGCCAAGAAAAGUCACAGUUGAGAAUAUGGUAUCAAGUUUUCGAGUUUCUGAACUACAAGUGUUGUUGGGCUUUGCUGGACGUAAUAAAAGUGGGCGCAAACAUGACCUCCUGAUGAGGGCACUGCAUUUAUUGAAGAGUGGCUGCAGCCCAGCAGUUCAAAUUAAAAUCCGAGAGCUCUAUAGACGUCGGUACCCAAGGACAAUUGAAAGUCUGUCUGACCUGUCACCUGUAAAACCUUCAGUUUUCAAUUUGGAUAGUAGCUCCUCUCCUGUGGAACCUGACUUGGCUGUUUCUGGAAUCCACCCACUACCUUCUACUUCAGUCACCCCUCAAUCCCCUUCAUCGCCUGUUGGUUCUGUGCUGCUUCAAGACACUAAGCCUCACUUUGAGAUGCAGCAACCAUCACCUCCAAUUCCACCUGUCCAUCCUGAUGUUCAGCUAAAAAGCCUCCCAUUUUAUGAUGUGCUUGAUGUUCUCAUUAAACCUACAAGUUUAGUACAGAGCAGUAUUCAGAGGUUCCAAGAGAAGUUUUUUAUCUUUGCUUUAACACCUCAGCAAGUCAGAGAAAUCUGCAUUUCCAGGGACUUCUUGCCAGGGGGCAGGAGGGACUACACAGUCCAAGUUCAGCUAAGGUUAUGCUUAGCAGAGACUAGCUGCCCUCAAGAAGAUAACUAUCCCAAUAGUUUGUGCAUUAAAGUAAAUGGGAAGUUAUUUCCAUUGCCGGGAUAUGCUCCACCACCAAAAAAUGGAAUUGAGCAGAAGCGACCCGGCCGCCCAUUGAAUAUUACAUCUCUAGUUAGAUUAUCAUCAGCAGUGCCAAAUCAGAUCUCCAUUUCUUGGGCAUCUGAAAUUGGAAAGAAUUACUCCAUGUCUGUAUAUCUUGUUCGGCAGCUCACUUCAGCCAUGCUUUUGCAGAGGUUAAAAAUGAAAGGUAUCAGAAACCCAGACCAUUCCAGAGCACUAAUUAAAGAAAAGCUUACUGCCGAUCCUGAUAGUGAAAUUGCCACAACCAGUUUGCGGGUAUCUCUGAUGUGUCCUCUGGGAAAAAUGAGACUGACAAUCCCAUGCCGUGCUGUUACCUGCACACAUCUGCAAUGUUUUGAUGCUGCUCUUUACCUACAAAUGAAUGAAAAGAAACCCACCUGGAUUUGUCCUGUCUGUGACAAAAAGGCAGCUUAUGAGAGUUUAAUAUUAGAUGGGCUCUUUAUGGAAAUCCUUAAUGAAUGUUCAGAUGUGGAUGAGAUUAAAUUUCAAGAGGAUGGUUCUUGGUGUCCUAUGAGGCCUAAGAAGGAAGCCCUGAAAGUGUCCAGUCCUCAGUCUACCAAAAUAGAAAGUUCCAGUGUUGUCAGCAAACCAUGUUCUGUGACAGUGGCCAAUGAAUUAAACAAGAAGAAAGUAGAUGUUAUCGACUUGACAAUAGAAAGCUCUUCUGAUGAAGAGGAAGAUCCUCCUGCCAAAAGGAAAUGCCUAUUUAUGUCUGAAACGCAAGGAAGCCCAACCAAAGGGUUUGUUAAUUUUAAAGUUAGUUGUUAUUCUGUAAUGUCUCAGAUAAGCUAACAUGUGGAUGGACUUGUAAGUAUCUCUUCGGGAUGCAGUUCCAAAUUUCCACAUCAGAACUUCUGUUAGGCUACUUCUUGCAGAAGGCUGUAUUAAUAUAUGGUAUCUUCGUACAGGUGAUUAUUUUAUAUAGUUUUACAUCACACAGAGAUUUGCCCUCACUUGCUGUGUAUGCAGUAAUGUACUCUCUUGGUGUGAUAGCUGUGGUAGUGGGGGUUCCCUGUGCGAAAUGCUAAUGCGUUCCUGCUAAACUAGCUUUCAUUUAAGGGUUGAAAAUACCACAAAUAGUAAAGGGCCUGCCUCCUGAAUACCUGUAGUGCUGUUUCAUUGAUAUGCUUAAGUCCAGCAUGUCAGCCUUGGAAGGGAAACCCUAUACUGUGUUGAAUCAACUCCUAGAUUUUCCUUCCAAAGUCUGCAUGCAGCUGAAUUUCUUAAACCUGAUCAUCAGCCAGAAGAGAGACAGAAAACACUGUGUGUGAGAGAGGAAAGUUAAGUGGGAUAUAGUUAAAGGCAAUGGGAGUUAAGGACCAAAAAACAACAACCACCCCAGAGGUUGGCGGAGAUGGCAAAAAGCCAUCCUGCUAAAAACAAGAAGGCCGUAUUCACUCCUGGUUACAAUUCUGUUGCUUUAGUAGAGUUACAAGGGGGAUGGAUUUUGUUCAGUGGCUCUUGUCAGGCACAGUCAGAAGUGCUGCUUCCUAAAAGUUCUCUUAUCUCCUCAUCCCCAUGUUUUUCCCAGGUGGACACAGGAUUCCUAACUUCCAGUGAAGUUCUUACCAUUAUCAACAUUUCUUUCCCUUCUGGGUCCCUCCCAUUUUUUACAUCACUCAACUGCAGUCCCUGACUACAACUUCCCAUCAGGGCUUUUCAGUUGGAGUACUUUGGGGGCCUGAGAGACUUUCAGAUACUCAUCUAAAGAAGGGGAAUAUUUGUUAGGCUGACCAUUAUUAGAGCUGAGCAUUGCUCCACCAACCCAUUCCAGAGGGUCAACCUUCUGGCAUUUCUGACUGGUCACGAUCAAAUUUCCUACAACAUUUGAGAGUCACAGCAUAGUCACUCAUGUCUUUCCUCAAGUAAAUUCUUCACCCCAUGCCCAAAACUUACUACUUUUCUCCCUUCUGCCACCUGAUGAAGUAUUGAGCAUGCCCUGUUCACGCUGCAGCAACGGGUGUUUACUGCUCUUUUGCAAGUCUAUAGUUGAAAUUACUUUUUCAUAGAUUUCCAGUGGUGACCCUCUUUGAAUUCCCAUCACUUGUUGUGAGAGCAGCAGAGGAGUCAGACUUCUUCCCCUCUCAGUACUGAUUGCAAAUGUAAAUAGUCCUAAAUAUCUUCAGGAAAGAAUAGGUUUAAUAGUAACCUCAGAUGCCAGUGACUUCCUUUCAUAGUGCUGCUGCCGCCACUUUUUGGCAAGAUGGGUGCAACCAGCCAUAUGUUUGUCCUAUGUUGGUCUGAAGUAUUCCUGUCUGUUUUCUGAGCACAAAAACAUCAGCUCUACUUCUGUAGAAUUAAGGUGUCUCUUAAGCCAUAUUUUCAGUGUCUAGAAAUGUGUGCAUUGUGGCAUCUUUCGUGUGUAAAUUUCUAUCAUUGACUUGAGGUUACAAAAAGAUCUUCAAAUAUUUGAGGGGAUAGUUGGCCCAGUGAGUUACUGUACUGUCUUGGACCUUUGCAGAGCUGAAUUUAACUCUUGCUUUAAGUUGUGAAUGAAGAUGAGUUUGGUCUUUUCAUACCACACAUUGGUAAGAGAGGACUGAUAAAUGCUGGACCAACUUUGUGGCACUAGAGAUCAGCAUUGAGAAACAUGGGCGUAGCGAUACGUGGGGAAGCUUAAACAAGUGCCAGCUUGUUCGUGGCUCCAGCUAGUUCUGUCAGUUCCUCACUUCCCCCAGAGUACUUAAUUCACUUACAAAUAUCCAUUUAUAUUCCUGGAUGAUAGUGUUAUAAAUGACCUGAAGCACUGUACUUUGUUUUAAUGCCAGCUUGCUCCUAUGUCACAGCUGCUGUUGAGAGCCAAGAUACGUUCAUGUUAUAAUGAAGACUGUUAUGAAAGAGGAGAUUAGAGUGGAAUACUGUGUAGUGAGUAGCCACACUAUAGUUGUGUUGUAACAUAGUGACUUUGUGAAUGAGAAUGCACUGUGGUGCAGAAUUUCUCUCCUCUUAACUAACAGCCAGAUUGUUUUUGUAAUUUCCCAUGCUGUUUAAAACAGGGUUCUCAUGUAUCAGCCAUCUACUGUAAGAGUGCCCAGUGUGACAACGGUUGAUCCUGCUGCUAUUCCUCCUUCAUUAACAGACUACUCAGUACCAUUCCACCACUCACAGAUAUCCAGUAUGUCAUCAGACUUGCCA